GUUUAUUGUUCUUAUAUACACAUUCUUACACAUUAGUACCACCCACAGGGUUUUGUAAAACAACCAAUAAACACAUACAAUACACUCAGACACUCCCACACAAAAUCCUCCCCUCUGCCUGUGAUACAAUUACCUUACACAAUGGGUUAAUGUAAUUAUCACAGGCAGGAAAAUACACAGUUUUAUACACUAUUCAUAACUUUAAAAGUAUUCAUCACAUUCACACAAAACUU